rnacentral:lncRNA from 1 species
CGGUUGCUCCCAUGUAAAUCUCCUCUUGUAGAUCCCCGUGAAGAAAGCCGUUCUUUAUUCCCUUGUUCAACCUCUAGAUCAAAACUAUCGGCUACCCAAGCACUACUCGUAUAAUUGCAUCUUUAUCAGGGAGCAAAAAUUUCCUUCCCCCAAAAUCAACCCUUUUCUUUGAGUACAACCUUUUACUAACUAACUACCACACCAAGGCCUAUAUCGAGGUUGGACGUAUGUUCAUCUUGCUUCAACAAAAACCGGUACACCCUCGAUUUUUUUCAACACUUUCUUGCCUUAUGUAACUUUACUAUCUCAAAGGAUUGUUCCUCUAUCUCACGAAGGGAUUGCAUUUCAUCCUCCAUGGCUUCCAUCCAUUUCCAUUGCUUCUUUAAAACUUUCGGGUUCUCUCCCCUUCAGUGAGACAUACAUACUCAUUUGGUGGGUAUCGAAGUGGAAGGAAUGUCUAUCACGAGUAGACCUUCUUGGUUUCAUUGGCAAUAAUAGGUUUCCCUCAAAUAUUUCAUUCUCAAGCUCAACAUUAUUGUCUACAUUAGUCUCAACUCAAUAAGAAUCUUGGAUUAUCAACAUGUAAAUUCAUACCUUGAUUUCUAUGGAACGUCAAUCGGCAACCGUCGGUAUAGAAACAUUGGAACCGGAUCACAUUAACCAUUUCUUCAUUUCAGAAGUAGGACCCCUUUUUUCCGCCUUGUUGAUAUCUUCAAUUGUAUGGCCUCCAUUGAUCAUGACAUCUCUCGAUACGGAUAGAAGAACUUUCCUAUUAAUUGGAUCAAAGAAAAGGAAUCGGUUUCCAACCUCAAUCAAGUCCAUACCCAACAAACACAAUCCACACUUCUUAGGUUUGCAUCUAACUUAGACCUCUCGUCUUGGGAAUAUGCACAUAAACCAUAUCCAAAUACUCGAAUAUGGUCAUAAGAGACAAUCUUUACCACUCCAAACACGUUUGGCAACAUCAAAAUUCAAAGGCACACCCCGGUGUGAGAUUUAAGGCACAAAGGGUGUACAACCUUACCAGCUUCACCCCAAAAAAAAAAUAACUUGGCAAUUUGCUUGUGAAAGCAAACACCUCACCCUUUCCCACCAAAGUCUAUUCAUUCUUUCCGGCCGAACCCAUCAAUUGUGGUGUUUUCGGAGGUGACUUUUGGUGACGAAUACCUUCUCUCGACAAUACGCAUCAAGGACCCAAUGUAUUUCUCUCUCCCCCAUUUCUUGUUCGGAUACCUUUUUAACUUUGUUUCUAGUUUUUUUCUUUCAACUGAUGCUUGAAACAACUUGAAGGUAUCUACCAAACACUUUAUAUUUUGUCUUAAAGUAUAAGCCCAAAUCUUUCGAGAAUAUCAUCAAUGAAAGUCACAAAAUAAUAUGGCACCACCACGUGCCUAUUCUUCAUUGGCCCCACAUCAUCGGAAUGUUUAAACUCAAGCAUUUCUUUUCUUUCUGACUUCUCGUUGGUGCGGAGAUUUAAUGAUAUCCCGCCUUUAUUUUUCCGGCCACACAAUACGGACCCCUCUUCAAUUGUACAUAGAAAUCCCGAUAAGACAUUCUUCUUAGCCAAAUAGAGGCCAAAAAACCUUCUCACUCAUAGUACUCAAGCGCUUGUGCCAUAACUCGAGGAACUAUCAUCUUCACAAAUUGAUGCAAUGCUGGGAAAUCCCGGUUUUUCGAACAAUAUACAACAAGUGUUUAAUGUCUUAUUCCCCUUGCCACUAACCAUUGCCCCCCUUUUUGAGCUUCCAUUCAUCACCCGAAAAGGAACUGUAAAUAGCCAUCACAUCAUCACCAACUUCCCCAACUGAUAAAAGAUUAAAGCGAAGAUCUUAAAUGUGUUUUACACCUUUGAGAACUAGUGUAGUGCCGUUACUAGUCUCAACACAACAUUUCCCAUUCCAACAACUUUGCUUGAUCAUUAUUGCCCAUAACGAACAAUCCAAAAUCCCUGCCUCAUAAGUAGAAAAAGGUCCUCGUUGGUUGAUGUGCAUGUGUAGAAGCACCACUAUCCACAACUCCAAUCCAACUCCUCACAAGAUAUUAACAUUUUUUUCAAUCAACACUAUCACAAACAACAAGGAAAUCAUCAACAUAGCAGCAACUAUCAUUAAUUGGUUACCUUCUCUCUUGUCAUUGUUGUCGUUGUUGUUCUUGUACUUCUUUUUUGUUCUCCUUUUUUAACUUUUGGCAAUACAUAUGGCCCUUUAACCGCAUGUGACAUUCACAUUUGCCCACUUAUUAGAAGCUCACCGAGGUAACCACGAUUACUUGGACCGGCUUUGACUCCUCCCCUUCGAUUCAGUAACCCAACUUCAGACUGUGAAGAGAUAACCUUGUGACUUGCGCCUCAUCUCUUCAUUCAACACACUACUCUUCUUGGCCAAAAUCCAUCGAGAUAUACCAUUUGGAAGCAAAGUUAGACAAUGAUGUUUCUACAUGUCUCCCACGUUUUUGUUGCGCAAAAGAACCAGAAGCCAAACCCUUGUUAAUCUCAUCAUCA